GAUGAACGCUGGCGGCGUGCUUAACACAUGCAAGUCGAACGGUGAAGCAGGAGCUUGCUCUUGUGGAUCAGUGGCGAACGGGUGAGUAACACGUGAGCAACCUGCCCCUGACUCUGGGAUAAGCGCUGGAAACGGCGUCUAAUACUGGAUAUGUGAUGUGACCGCACGGUCUGCAUCUGGAAAGAAUUUCGGUUGGGGAUGGGCUCGCGGCCUAUCAGCUUGUUGGUGAGGUAAUGGCUCACCAAGGCGUCGCCGGGUUGCCGGCCUGCGAGGGUAACCGGCCACACUGAGACUGAGACACGGGCCAGACGCCUACGGGAGGCNACAGUGGGGAAUAUUGCACAAUGGGCGGAAGCCUGAUGCAGCAACGCCGCGUGAGGGAUGACGGACUUCGGGUUGUAAACCUAUUUUAGCAGGGAAGNAGCGAAAGUGACGGUACCUGCAGAAAAAGCACCGGCUAACUACGUGCCAGCAGCCGCCGUAA
rnacentral:rRNA from 1 species